rnacentral:rRNA from 1 species
CCUACGGGGGGCAGCAGUGGGGAAUCUUGCGCAAUGGGCGAAAGCCUGACGCAGCAACGCCGCGUGCGGGAUGAAGGCUCUCGGGUUGUAAACCGCUUUCAGGAGGGACGAAAUUGACGGUACCUCCAGAAGAAGCCCCGGCCAACUACGUGCCAGCAGCCGCGGUAACACGUAGGGGGCGAGCGUUGUCCGGAUUUAUUGGGCGUAAAGAGCUCGUAGGCGGUUUGGCAAGUCGGGUGUGAAAGCUCGAGGCUCAACCUCGAGACGCCACUCGAUACUGCCAUGACUGGAGUCCGGUAGAGGAGUGCGGAAUUCCUGGUGUAGCGGUGAAAUGCGCAGAUAUCAGGAGGAACACCAACGGCGAAGGCAGCACUCUGGGCCGGUACUGACGCUGAGGAGCGAAAGCGUGGGGAGCAAACAGGAUUAGAUACCCCAGUAGU